rnacentral:rRNA from 1 species
GUCGAACGGUAGCACAGAGGAGCUUGCUCCUUGGGUGACGAGUGCCGGACGGGUGAGUAAUGUCUGGGAAACUGCCCGAUGGAGGCGGAUAACUACUGGAAACGGUAGCUAAUACCGCAUAACGUCGCAAGACCAAAGAGGGGGACCUUCGGGCCUCUUGCCAUCGGAUGUGCCCAGAUGGGAUUAGCUAGUAGGUGGGGUAACGGCUCACCUAGGCGACGAUCCCUAGCUGGUCUGAGAGGAUGACCAGCCACACUGGAACUGAGACACGGUCCAGACUCCUACGGGAGGCAGCAGUGGGGAAUAUUGCACAAUGGGCGCAAGCCUGAUGCAGCCAUGCCGCGUGUAUGAAGAAGGCCUUCGGGUUGUAAAGUACUUUCAGCGAGGAGGAAGGUGUUGUGGUUAAUAACCACAGCAAUUGACGUUACUCGCAGAAGAAGCACCGGCUAACUCCGUGCCAGCAGCCGCGGUAAUACGGAGGGUGCAAGCGUUAAUCGGAAUUACUGGGCGUAAAGCGCACGCAGGCGGUCUGUCAAGUCGGAUGUGAAAUCCCCGGGCUCAACCUGGGAACUGCAUCCGAAACUGGCAGGCUAGAGUCUUGUAGAGGGGGGUAGAAUUCCAGGUGUAGCGGUGAAAUGCGUAGAGAUCUGGAGGAAUACCGGUGGCGAAGGCGGCCCCCUGGACAAAGACUGA